AUUUAACGCUGGCGGCAGGCUUAACACAUGCAAGUCGAGCGGGGAAAUGUAGCUUGCUACAUUACCUAGCGGCGGACGGGUGGGUAAUGCUUAGGAAUCUGCCUAUUAGUGGGGGACAACAUCUCGACAGGGACGCUAAUACCGCAUACGUCCUACUGGAGCAAGAAGGGGACCUUCGGGCCUUGCGCGAAGAGAUGAGCCUAAGUCGGAUUAGAUAGUUGGUGGGGUAAAGGCCUACCAAGGCGACGAGUUGUAGCGGGUCUGAGAGGAUGCUCCGCCACACGGGGACUGAGACACGGCCCAGACUCCUACGGGAGGCAGCAGGGGGGAAUAUUGGACAAUGGGGGGAACCCUGAUCCAGCCAUGCCGCGUGUGUGAAGAAGGCCUUUUGGUUGUAAAGCACUUUAAGCGAGGAGGAGGCUACCGAGAUUAAUACUCUUGGAUAGUGGACGUUACUCGCAGAAUAAGCACCGGCUAACUCUGUGCCAGCAGCCGCCGUAAUAC
rnacentral:rRNA from 1 species